AUUGAACGCUGGCGGCAGGCCUAACACAUGCAAGUCGAGCGGUAACACAAGGGAGCUUGCUUCUGAGGUGACGAGCGGCGGACGGGUGAGUAAUGCCUAGGGAUCUGCCCAGUCGAGGGGGAUAACAGUUGGAAACGACUGCUAAUACCGCAUACGCCCUACGGGGGAAAGGAGGGGACCUUCGGGCCUUCCGCGAUUGGAUGAACCUAGGUGGGAUUAGCUAGUUGGUGAGGUAAUGGCUCACCAAGGCGACGAUCCCUAGCUGUUCUGAGAGGAUGAUCAGCCACACUGGACUGAGACACGGCCCAGACUCCUACGGGAGGCAGCAGUGGGGAAUAUUGCACAAUGGGGGAAACCCUGAUGCAGCCAUGCCGCGUGUGUGAAGAAGGCCUUCGGGUUGUAAAGCACUUUCAGUAGGGAGGAAAGGUAAUAGUUUAAUAAACUAUUACUGUGACGUUACCUACAGAAGAAGGACCGGCUAACUCCGUGCCAGCAGCCGCGGUAAUACGGAGGGUCCGAGCGUUAAUCGGAAUUACUGGGCGUAAAGCGUGCGCAGGCGGUUUGUUAAGCCAGAUGUGAAAUCCCCGGGCUCAACCUGGGAAUUGCAUUUGGAACUGGCGAACUAGAGUCUUGUAGAGGGGGGUAGAAUUCCAGGUGUAGCGGUGAAAUGCGUAGAUAUCUGGAGGAAUACCGGUGGCGAAGGCGGCCCCCUGGACAAAGACUGACGCUCAUGCACGAAAGCGUGGGGAGCAAACAGGAUUAGAUACCCUGGUAGUCCACGCCGUAAACGAUGUCUACUCGGAGUUUGGUGACUUAGUCACUGGGCUCCCAAGCUAACGCAUUAAGUAGACCGCCUGGGGAGUACGGCCGCAAGGUUAAAACUCAAAUGAAUUGACGGGGGCCCGCACAAGCGGUGGAGCAUGUGGUUUAAUUCGAUGCAACGCGAAGAACCUUACCUACUCUUGACAUCCACAGAAGAGACCAGAGA
rnacentral:rRNA from 1 species